UACGAAGGGGGCUAGCGUUGCUCGGAAUUACUGGGCGUAAAGCGCGCGCAGGCGGCUAUCCAAGUCAGUGGUGAAAGCCCGGAGCUCAACUCCGGAACUGCCAUUGAAACUGUUUAGCUUGAGGAUGAGAGAGGUGAGUGGAAUUCCCAGUGUAGAGGUGAAAUUCGUAGAUAUUGGGAAGAACACCGGUGGCGAAGGCGGCUCACUGGCUCAUUACUGACGCUCAGGCGCGAUAGCGUGGGGAUCUAACAGG
rnacentral:rRNA from 1 species